ACAUAAAUGCAAGUGCUACGACGAUGACGUUUCAAAUUUUCCAAAUUUCGAAAAAUUGGACCGUUUGGGAGGCUAUGUCCGAGACGUUAUAGAUAUGCAUUCCUCAUUUGGUUUCUCAGGAAACCUAAUGCUGUAAAAAAUAGCGAUGAUGGCUGAGGAAUCCGACUCCACCACCAAGGCGAUGGCUGGUUUUGGUUCGAAACCUGUAGCACCUAUGCCCCCACGUGUCAGUUCGAACCCUAAUAGAAAGAUGAGGCUAAUCGAAGAACCAAAAAGGAGAAGCCUAUACUAAUAGCCACUCAGAGACCGAACCGGUGGGAAACCAAACCCCCGAAACUUUCCGUACAGUGUGAAGCGGAGCAAUCUUGCUGGGUCAAUGGUCGGUAAAGAUCAAAGGGCAAGAGCCAGAUCUUUGGAUAUUCAUGAAUUCUACAGGAAAUCGAACGUAUGCCUCUUCUCAAAUUCUGGAUACACAUAUAGCUCAGAGCAUUGGGCUCUGUAAUUCUGGGGCUCUUUAACCUGUUUGAAGACCUCUUAGAAAUAUUUCCCAGCGAUCAGCAUGGUGGCCCGGGCUUCUGCUUCUAUUCUAACGGCAACCUUGCAUCCGUGGAGGUCACUUGUUGAACAGGGUUUUAUGGUCGGUCUGGGACCCCUGGAUGCCAAAUGCAUCCUUGGAGUGAUCUCUAGGUUCCUGUAGGGUAGAGAUGAUGGGAUCAGUCCAUGGAUUCUCUAUUCCUUUGUGUAUACGUGAUUGGUGUCUGACUUAUCAGGAAAGGAUUUUGGAGUAAUGCUAGGUACAUUUAUUUGGUAUCCCUAGUAUUAUUCAAGGCUUUUGAUAUCCUUAAUUUGUUACAUUUGUUUAUGGACAGUGAUACUUCAUAUUGCAUUGUGUAUGUGAAAGAUGUAGAGUAUGGUGGCAUGAGUUGUCAAGAAUUUGCAACAAUGGGCGGUUAUAGCUUAUAUGACGACUACCCUGCAGUGUUGUGCCAAAUGUUUUCUAUCUGGAUGCUUUUUCUUGAUUGAUGAUAAUAUGGUGCCAUCAGUCAUCAAGAAUACACAACAAUGGGUUAAACAACAUCUAUAUCACUGCAUGGUUUUGCCCUAUGUUCUUUAGCCGGGCAACUCAAGUGAAAUCAUUUACUGCCAGGUGGCAUCUAGUGAAAUUGUUUAUUCUGUCAGGCUCAUUUUAUGACUCAUUGAAUAUUGAAAGCUGAAAGUGAUUUUAUCUGGAUUUCUCCUCAAGUGAAAUGAUUUGCAUCAUAAUAUCACUGCUUUUGUUCUCUCAUAUGCAUGCUUCUCUAAGUUCCCUGUGCAUGCUGGCUCGCUUAUGUGAUUAUGAAGGUGAGUCUAUUGAACUAUGAUGCGGUUGAGCUAUUGAUUUCAGUAUCCCCUCCAGUCCUCCGAUUGUUUAUGUCCACGAGGUAGCAUAAUCUUGGUGGGUUCAGGGAAAGGAAUUCCCCAAGCUUGAAGCUUCAGCUAACUUAGGCUGGCUAACCUUGUGCUUGCUUUGCACCUUCUUCAGAGUCAGUCGGUAUGCGGGGGAUGUUCUUGUUUCCUCUGUAUAAAACAUGAUUUAUUUUUGCAACCAGUUAUAUGUAUGCAUACAAGCUUUAGCCUGGUCUAUUUCUAUUAUGUAAUGUUAAGUUUAGCUUUAACUUUCAAAAACAGAGCAAACACAAACUAAGGGCAUAGGUAAGCAACAAAUUUUUCAAUGAAAACAAAAUGCAUACAUUGCUGCUAA